GUGAGGAAUAUUGGUCAAUGGACGAGAGUCUGAACCAGCCAAGUCGCGUGAAGGAAGACGGAUCUAUGAAUUGUAAACUUCUUUUGUGCAGGAAUAAAGUGGGUUACGUGUAACCUUUUGUAUGUACUGUACGAAUAAGGAUCGGCUAACUCCGUGCCAGCAGCCGCGGUAAUACGGAGGAUCCGAGCGUUAUCCGGAUUUAUUGGGUUUAAAGGGUGCGUAGGUGGAUUGAUAAGUCAGCGGUGAAAGUUUGCAGCUUAACUGUAAAAUUGCCGUUGAAACUGUCGGUCUUGAGUGGAAAUGAGGUAGGCGGAAUGUGUUGUGUAGCGGUGAAAUGCUUAGAUAUAACACAGAACUCCGAUUGCGAAGGCAGCUUACUGGGAUGCAACUGACACUGAUGCACGAAAGCGUGGGUAUCAAACAGGAUUAGAAACCCGUGUAGUCC
rnacentral:rRNA from 1 species